UAUAUUUUAGUAUAAGAUGUAUACAAAUUUUUGAUAUUUGAGGAAUCGGUUUAAUUACGAUAAAUAUAG
rnacentral:tRNA from 1 species